UGGCUAGGAAUGGUUUCACGCUAAACCCGCCCGGCCCUGAGGCUGAUUAGUGGAAACCACUGCUAGGUAAUUUGUUAUUCAUACUUAUCCAUCUGCCUCCUGCUGGGCUGAGAUAAAGAGAUACACAAUUUCCUCCUUGUUUGUAUCAUUAUUUUAGUCUAUCACGGCAAUCAAGGCAAGUCUGGCUGGAAAGAAAAAAAAAAAAAAGUAGGGUUUGCUGUUCUUUUAGGGAAGCAUUCCCGGACAAGCAGUGAAGAAGCUCACAGUGGGUUACCAGUCACUGGUGGAUCCUAUGGCUCUCCUUUUAGAAGUAUAUGAGGAAGACUUCCAUUUUGGUGGAGAAUCCAGGGACAGACUAAGCAGGUUUCCCAGAAUCGUCAAGGAGUCUGUGCUAUUCAGAAUUGAAGUUCAUAUCUCAUCUAAAACUUUUCUGCAUUUCUUCAGCUCUCUGAAGUAGCUCUGCUUAAGCUUUCCCACCACCUACAUUUUAGGGUCAUGUUGGCACAGCUUUCUUACAGAGGCACUCACAUCUGCUGAGUCAAUGCCUGUUAGCCAUCACAGUUUAGGGGAUGUCUGCUGAUAUAGACACUUCUUGUCUGUGAAUAUACGGGCUAAUUCCCACUGAAAUCAGUUGAAGGUCCAUCAUUAUUAUGACUGACCUGGAGUGACGGUUUGCUCAGAUUUGCAAACUGAGGUUGUACUUGUGACCAUUGCUGUUGUUUAUCCUCUGUCCAUGCUUGGCAUUUCUCUUGACUGGAGAAAUGGCACUAGCAGCUUUGAUAUCUGAGAAGAUUCAGUGUGGUUUUGCACUUUUGUGAUGGCAACCUGAAAUCAGUCCAGUAAACUCAAAGCUUUCUGGAGAGAGUUCAGUAAAAUUUGGACCAAUAUAAUUUUAUGCUUGUAUGAAUCAUCCUGGUGUUUUGUUAAGUCUUAACUUAGUUUACAUUUUAGUCAUUCACUGGGACACCAAUAAAAAAGAAAUAACCGUAAAGAAAAAACAGCUGGUGACUCAAAAUCAAAUCCUGCUAAUAUUUCUCUCCCAAUAAAAUUGGUAUCACUGAUAUGAAGGCAAAUUCUUCACAUUAUAUAUUAUAUGACAUACUAUAAUAUAUAAUACAAUAUAUACACACACAUAAACCCCUAAUGCUUUAAGAGCUAGGAUUUAGAAAAUAUAUAGUGAAGCAAUAUUACAUUCAGUGCUGGGCACCCUACUACCAAAAAUAUCUAGAACUGGAAGGACUUCAAAGAAGACAUGUUAAAGUGACUGGGAAUCUGGGGGAAUUGGAUUUUGAGGAAAGUUUUAAAGCACCUAAAACUUGUGUCUAGAAAUUAAUGAGACAGUGACUCAGAACUCUGACUUGCAUCAGAACUGGUACAAUUUUUGGCUGGUAUAUGAAAGCAAAUUGGAGACAGAGCUGGUUUACAUUAGGCUGUAAAAUGACAUGGUUUUGCUAGAGCUUCACAGGCAGCUGAGUCAUCUCUUCAGCAGGACUGGAAACCUCAAAAUUGGGGCUGGAAGUGGCAGUGGGGGGCCAAAAUGCUAGGGCACUGCCUGAGAAGCCUUCUGCACCUUGAGAGGGCUCUCAGCACCUCCCAGUGCUGGCAAAGCGCCGGCACUGGUGUUGGGAAGCUGCACCCUCCUCCUCAUCAGCCAGAACUUUGCUUUUUGGGGGCACCAGUGCCUGCAAGGCUGAAGAUCAAGAGCUACUGCACCUUGAACUGCUGACAAAGUCCAAGUCCCACUUUACAGACACUAUUCCUCAGAUGUAGUAUCCUGCAAAUAUCUGACAAAGACAUGGGAGGAGUGGAUUCACCUGCUCAGGGACACAGAGAGGAUUUCCAACAGAGGCGGGCAUCUAGCCCAGAUCCUUAAGUCCAGGUUCUCAAGAGAUUUGAUCUCUGCACAAGUGAAUAAUUUCAGUUCACUUCAAUGGAACUAGUAUGUGAGUUAAAUACUAUUACUCUGAGUCCCCAAAUUAAUGUGAAAGC